GCGCUUCCAAUUGAUGGGGGGCGGCGGGAGGGGGCCCCUAACGGUGCCGGGGCUCCGGCUCCACUCGGGGUGUCGCACGCGUCGUCGAGCUCUCUCCGCGGGGCCGGGGCUGGGACGGAGCUGCGGGGCGCGGGGAGGGGGGAAACCAGGUCUGACGGGGGAGGCCGGUCAGACCGUGAUGAGAAUGGAGACCGUCGGGGCAGUGUUUGAAGGGAGGUUUUAAUAUUAAUAGUUUCGGUGUAGAGACAGAAGGGAGAUUGCGUCUACGGCUCCUCGGGGCAGACUCUGGGUGACAGCGAUGAUGGAUGAUCCAGCAGAGCCCAACAGCUCCUCCCCUCCAGCCCCAACAGUGUCAAAGCUACUUUAGUUGAAGCUUUGGAAAUAAAAUAAAUAAACAGCAUCGCUCCCCCCACCCCUUACUCUUCGCACACCUCCACUCCCACCCCCACCCCCGCUUUCCCACAUCGAUUUAUAGAUCAUUAUGAAUCAAUUACUGCUCUCAAUACUUUCCCAUUGGCUUAAAUAAAACAGUCAAAAGAUGAAAACAUGGGGUUCGGUAGGCUUCCCCCCACCACCACCACCCCCGACAGGAACAACCGCAAAAUCCAUUAUCUCAUCAUCAGAGGCUCCGAGUUAGGAGAUGUCGAGAAAGGAAGGAAAGGGUCGCCCGGUGAAAAACGGGGGGGGGGGGCAUCUCGGGGGGGGGGCACCCAGCUGCUGCCUUUGUUCAGAUGGGUUUGGUUGGUUGCUUUGGGGUUUUUUUGAACGGGGAACCCGAGUGAGAACGAGAUGCCUACAGGUUUCGUAACCUAAUGAUUUAACUCCUUUGGAGGAACCUAUUUGAAUGUGUGUCUCGGCAAACAUCAGAUGUUGUUGGUGGUGAGGUCGCACAUGGGAAAAGGAGGAUGCAAUUUUGCCCGUGAAUGCAUUUUCUCAAAAUGCGUUGGCUUGAUUCCUCCUUUGCUAAAGAAUAUCAACGGAUUUACUAAUAGAACCUAGACCAGGAAUAUCCAGUGUGUCAGAUCAAAUCCCAGCAACAAAGCUGCGCGAAACUGCAAAACCGGUCCUCGGAGCUCUGAGCGGCUGGGCUGUCUCGUUCACAUAUAACAUCAGAGCGCCCCCUGCUGGCGAGCGGGGUAGACGGCGCCGUCGUGGCGCGCACAGGCGUCUUCUGGGUUUGCCAGUUACUCCGCGAGGACUCCGGACCCCUGGAAGGCGAGGGCGCACAGAACCGCCCUGUGUCACUUCUUCUCCAACCCCUCCUCUUUGGGGAUGCUCCGAACCGGGUCGGGGACUAGAGGACGUCAAGGAAGGAGCGCUCCUAGCGCGAGGCAGAGGCGGCCCCGGUCUUCGCGCCCGGGAAGGGCUGCCUCCAGUCGGGGUGUGAUUUGAAGACUUACUGGGGCUAGUGUGACAACCGAGAAUAAAGAAAAGAAAACAGGUGUCCCCAGUGCAGUUGAAUCCAAGCAGAGACAUUUCCAGUAAGAAAUUCUCACAGAUGAAGAAAAUGGGAACAUCUCCUUGUAUUUGUCUCAGUUUGACUUAAUGAAAUUUGGAGACACUGACAGUCUGGUCAAUGUUCUACGUAAAUUAAUGCAAAGGUCCUUAGGAAGAGACUGAAGACACCUCUGGCCAUUAAUCUUAAACCACUUGAAGAUUAUGAUUAAAUGAAUGGGAUCACUAAGCAUUAUCAUUUCAAAAAGCCGUUAACUGUCUCCACCCCUGUAUUGUGGCAACAAAAUAAACUCUCUGUGAGGAAUGGUGUUUCUUCCUUCUUUAUCUUUGCUUUUGUUUUGCUUUAAGAAGAAAGAGGGGGAAGACAGGAGAGACGAAAACCUUCCCGAAAGUCUUGGAUUUCCUGCUGUUAGAAAGCUGCUGU